ensembl:misc_RNA 7SK 7SK RNA
GUCUAUUUUGUUGCAACAUCUGGCAUUUCAUUGGUUCCCAUGGUUGAUUCAGUUGAGCUAGGGUUGGCUAGGCUGGUAUCCAUUUCCAUUUAAGUCCUUCCCUAAGCUGUGUGCUUGAUAAAAUAAUAUGAUUCUUUAAGAAGAGAAGAUGAUGGGGAUUCUAGAGGGCAUAUGAGUAGCUUAGAACCCCUUCUAGAACCCGCAAGGAAGUUUCUUAAUGGUUGUUUUACAAGAUAACAAAGGAAAUAAGAAUCCCUUGCUGUAGCAAUCAACACAUAGAUCCUUUUAGGAUGGUAGAAUUU